rnacentral:rRNA from 1 species
GAUGAACGCUGGCGGCGUGCCUAAUACAUGCAAGUCGAGCGAAUGGAUUAAGAGCUUGCUCUUAUGAAGUUAGCGGCGGACGGGUGAGUAACACGUGGGUAACCUGCCCAUAAGACUGGGAUAACUCCGGGAAACCGGGGCUAAUACCGGAUAACAUUUUGAACCGCAUGGUUCGAAAUUGAAAGGCGGCUUCGGCUGUCACUUAUGGAUGGACCCGCGUCGCAUUAGCUAGUUGGUGAGGUAGCGGCUCACCAAGACAACGAUGCGUAGCCGACCUGAGAGGGUGAUCGGCCACACUGGACUGAGACACGGCCCAGACUCCUACGGGAGGCAGCAGUAGGGAAUCUUCCGCAAUGGACGAAAGUCUGACGGAGCAACGCCGCGUGAGUGAUGAAGGCUUUCGGGUCGUAAAACUCUGUUGUUAGGGAAGAACAAGUGCUAGUUGAAUAAGCUGGCACCUUGACGGUACCUAACCAGAAAGCCACGGCUAACUACGUGCCAGCCGCCGCCGUAA